rnacentral:lncRNA from 1 species
UGAUGAUCAGGAUGAGGAAAGGGAGGAGGAAAGAGGACUAGCACUGAAUUUUCAGACAUCCAAUGUAACUAUUGUGCAAGUUCUCAGCCUGACUGUGCUGCAGCUGCUCUCUUUGGGGGAUGACGUGUUCACAAAGCAGCAUGUACAUUCAUGCCAGUGAACGUCCUGGGAAGCUUAAGUGGAGUGACACCCGCCCACCUAUUUUCUGGACUCACAAACCAGAUCCACCAUCUCUCCAGCCUUUGCUGAUGUCUGACAGCAAGCUACAGGAAGGCAGCUGGAGGCCAGGAGCUCCCAGAGGUGCAAGACGUGAGUAGGCUGCGGUACUUCCUGCUCUAUUCCAUCUAUCUCUG